UACGUAGGUGGCGAGCGUUGUCCGGAAUUACUGGGCGUAAAGGGCGCGCAGGCGGGUAAUUAAGUCAAGUGUGAAACCCCCGGGCUUAACCCGGGGCUUGCACGUGAUACUGGUUAUCUUGAGUGCUGGAGAGGGCAGUGGAAUUCCUAGUGUAGCGGUGAAAUGCGUAGAUAUUAGGAGGAACACCAGUGGCGAAGGCGGCUGCCUGGACAGUAACUGACGCUGAGGCGCGAAAGCGUGGGGAGCAAACAGGAUUAGAUACC
rnacentral:rRNA from 1 species